GACGAACGCUGGCGGCGUGCUUAACACAUGCAAGUCGAACGGAAAGGCCCCUUCGGGGGUACUCGAGUGGCGAACGGGUGAGUAACACGUGAGUAACCUGCCCUUGACUUCGGGAUAACUUCAGGAAACUGGGGCUAAUACCGGAUAGGAAUCCUUGCUGCGUGGUGGGGGUUGGAAAGCUUCGGCGGUUUUGGAUGGACUCGUGGCUUAUCAGCUUGUUGGUGGGGUAGUGGCUUACCAAGGCUUUGACGGGUAGCCGGCCUGAGAGGGCGACCGGCCACAUUGGGACUGAGAUACGGCCCAGACGCCUACGGGAGGCAGCAGUGGGGAAUAUUGCACAAUGGGCGGAAGCCUGAUGCAGCAACGCCGCGUGCGGGAUGACGGCCUUCGGGUUGUAAACCGCUUUCAGCAGGGGCGAAGCUUGUGGUGACGGUACCUGCAGAAGAAGCACCGGCUAACUACGUG
rnacentral:rRNA from 1 species